rnacentral:rRNA from 1 species
UACGAAGGGGGCUAGCGUUGUUCGGAUUUACUGGGCGUAAAGCGCACGUAGGCGGAUCGUUAAGUCGAGGGUGAAAUCCUGGAGCUCAACUCCAGAACUGCCUUCGAUACUGGCGAUCUCGAGUCCGGAAGAGGUGAGUGGAACUCCUAGUGUAGAGGUGGAAUUCGUAGAUAUUAGGAAGAACACCAGUGGCGAAGGCGGCUCACUGGUCCGGUACUGACGCUGAGGUGCGAAAGCGUGGGGAGCAAACAGG